AGUGGCGAACGGGUGAGUAACACGUGAGUAACCUGCCCUUAACUCUGGGAUAAGCCUGGGAAACUGGGUCUAAUACCGGAUAGGAGCGCCUACCGCAUGGUGGGUGUUGGAAAGAUUUAUCGGUUUUGGAUGGACUCGCGGCCUAUCAGCUUGUUGGUGAGGUAAUGGCUCACCAAGGCGACGACGGGUAGCCGGCCUGAGAGGGUGACCGGCCACACUGGGACUGAGACACGGCCCAGACUCCUACGGGAGGCAGCAGUGGGGAAUAUUGCACAAUGGGCGCAAGCCUGAUGCAGCGACGCCGCGUGAGGGAUGACGGCCUUCGGGUUGUAAACCUCUUUCAGUAGGGAAGAAGCGAAAGUGACGGUACCUGCAGAAGAAGCACCGGCUAACUACGUGCCAGCAGCCGCGGUAAUACGUAGGGUGCGAGCGUUAUCCGGAAUUAUUGGGCGUAAAGAGCUCGUAGGCGGUUUGUCGCGUCUGUCGUGAAAGUCCGGGGCUUAACCCCGGAUCUGCGGUGGGUACGGGCAGACUAGAGUGCAGUAGGGGAGACUGGAAUUCCUGGUGUAGCGGUGGAAUGCGCAGAUAUCAGGAGGAACACCGAUGGCGAAGGCAGGUCUCUGGGCUGUAACUGACGCUGAGGAGCGAAAGCAUGGGGAGCGAACAGGAUUAGAUACCCUGGUAGUCCAUGCCGUAAACGUUGGGCACUAGGUGUGGGGACCAUUCCACGGUUUCCGCGCCGCAGCUAACGCAUUAAGUGCCCCGCCUGGGGAGUACGGCCGCAAGGCUAAAACUCAAAGGAAUUGACG
rnacentral:rRNA from 1 species